rnacentral:rRNA from 1 species
GAUGAACGCUGGCGGCGUGCCUAAUACAUGCAAGUCGAGCGAACAGACGAGGAGCUUGCUCCUCUGACGUUAGCGGCGGACGGGUGAGUAACACGUGGAUAACCUACCUAUAAGACUGGGAUAACUUCGGGAAACCGGAGCUAAUACCGGAUAAUAUAUUGAACCGCAUGGUUCAAUAGUGAAAGACGGUUUUGCUGUCACUUAUAGAUGGAUCCGCGCCGCAUUAGCUAGUUGGUAAGGUAACGGCUUACCAAGGCAACGAUGCGUAGCCGACGUGAGAGGGUGAUAGGCCACACUGGAACUGAGCCACGGUCAAGACUCCUACGGGAGGCAGCAGUAGGGAAUCUUCCGCAAUGGGCGAAAGCCUGACGGAGCAACGCCGCGUGAGUGAUGAAGGUCUUCGGAUCGUAAAACUCUGUUAUUAGGGAAGAACAAAUGUGUAAGUAACUAUGCACGUCUUGACGGUACCUAAUCAGAAAGCCACGGCUAACUACGUG